GGUUACUGUCACAGCAAUUUUUCUUCUGUUUAUACAUUGAUGAACUUUUUUAUGAUAGACACCAAUAUUGGAAUAUCCUUUAUCUGUGAGAAUUUUUAUAUACACCCACGGCAAAAGUUGGAGGUGAUAUCUUACAAACUUUGAUCUCAUUGAUUGCGUCCCCUGAUGAAGUCCUGUAAGGACGAAACGCGUUGGGCACUCACGCAUUUGUGAUUUGAACAUACAUCUGAACGCUUCAUUGAGAAGUAGAUGUGGAUAUUACCAAAAAUCAUCAAGAUAAAUAUUUGUCUAUACUGUCCAUUUGUAAUGUAAAGUCAUGUGUAUGUUUUAUUGAAACUUUUA